rnacentral:snRNA from 1 species
GGAUGUAAAAAUCUGUCACUUCAUCAAUUACCUGGAUUGAUUGGGUUGAUCUGGCUGGCUAAGUAGGUGUUGCCUUACUACCUCACCACUCCCCAUGGAUUCCUUCCUGAGGCUGUACAUUCAGUGGAAGAGAGCAGCCUUCCCUAACAGAGGAAGACUAUUCUUUGGUCAAGAGUAUAUAUGUAGCCAGGCGGUGGUGACACACCCCUUUAAUCCCAGCACUCAGUAGGCAGAGGCAUGCAGAUCUCUGUGAGUUCAAGACUGGCCUGGUCU